rnacentral:SRP_RNA from 1 species
GACAUGGUGUUGCACAAUUUCAACUUCCAGGAAGGCUGAGGCUGGGGGAUCCCUUGAGUCAGCAAGUUCUAAAGUGUAGUGGGCCACUUGGGUGUCCACACUAAUUUCAGCAUCAAUACGGUGAGCCUCUGGGAUCAUAGGUCAGUGGGAUUGCCUAAAGAAGGACAAAGUGGCCCAGGUUAGAAAUGGAGCAGGUCAGAGUUCCUCUUGCCUAUCAGUAGUGAGACUUGGUCUUUAAGUAUGCCUUUCACUUUCAGCCUGGGAAGAUGAAAGGACCUAGUCUUA